GCCUUCGUGGCCCAGUGGAUAGGGCGUCCGCCUCCGGAGCGGAAGGCCGCGGGUUCGAGUCCCGCCGAAGGCACAA
rnacentral:tRNA from 2 species